CAAUAGCGUAUAUUAAAGUUGUUGUGGUUAAAAAGCUCGUAGUUGGAUCUCAACAGCCUUGAAGCGGUUAACUUUGUAGUUUUACUGCUUUAUAGGCUGUGCUUUUGCUGGAGGUUUAGGGGUGCUCUUGAUCGAGUGUCUCUGGAUGCCAGCAGGUUUACUUUGAAAAAAUUAGAGUGCUCAAAGCAGGCUAAAAUGCCUGAAUAUUCGUGCAUGGAAUAAUAGAAUAGGAUGUCGAUCCUAUUUUGUUGGUUUUCGGGACUCGACAUAAUGAUAAAUAGGGACAGUCGGGGGCAUUUGUAUUCAAACGACAGAGGUGAAAUUCUUGGACCGUUUGAAGACAAACUACUGCGAAAGCAUUUGCCAAGAAUGUUUUCAUUAAUCAAGAACGAAAGU
rnacentral:rRNA from 1 species